UAUGAACGCUAGCGGCAGGCUUAAUACAUGCAAGUCGAGGGACAGCACAGGUAGCAAUACUGGGUGGUAACCGGCAAACGGGUGCGGAACACGUACACAACCUUCCUUUAAGUGGGGGAUAGCCCAGAGAAAUUUGGAUUAAUACCCCGUAAUAUAGUUGAAUGGCAUCAUUUGAUUAUUAUAGCUACGGCGCUUAAUGAUGGGUGUGCGGCUGAUUAGAUAGUUGGCGGGGUAACGGCCCACCAAGUCUACGAUCAGUAGCUGAUGUGAGAGCAUGAUCAGCCACACGGGCACUGAGACACGGACCCGACUCCUACGGGAGGCAGCAGUAAGGAAUAUUGGUCAAUGGACGCAAGUCUGAACCAGCCAUGCCGCGUGAAGGAUUAAGGUCCUCUGGAUUGUAAACUUCUUUUAUUUGGGACGAAAAAGGGCCUUUCUAGGUCAACUGACGGUACCAGAUGAAUAAGCACCGGCUAACUCCGUGCCAGCCGCCGCAGUAAGAC
rnacentral:rRNA from 1 species